rnacentral:rRNA from 1 species
AAUGAACGCUGGCGGCAGGCCUAACACAUGCAAGUCGAACGAGGGGCGGAGGGGUGAGAAAUGUCUGGGAAAUUGCUUGAUGGCAGGGGACAACUACUGGAAACGGCAGCUAAUACCGCAUACCAUCAGAUGUGCCCAGGUGGGAUUAGCUAGUUGGUGGGGUAACGGCUCACCAAGGCGACGAUCCCGAGCUGGUCUGAGAGGAUGACCAGCCACACUGGAACUGAGACACGGUCCAGACGCCGACGGGAGGCAGCAGUAGGGAAUAUUGCACAAUGGGCGAAAGCCUGAUUGAGCAAAGCCGCGUGUGUGAUUAAGGCCUUCUGAUUGUAAAAUCCUUUUAGCAGGGAUGCGUUACCCAUAGAGGAAUCACCGGCUAACGUCGUGCCAGCAGCCGCGGUAAUUC